rnacentral:misc_RNA from 1 species
CCGAGUAUGCCCUUCUGGGCGGACCUCCAACCCACUGUAUACUGCUUUUUGUUGCUUUGGCGGGCCCGCGCAAGCUACUGGCUUCGGCUGGUAAGUGCCCGCCAGAGGAAACUAAACCCUAAUAAUUUUUGUUUUGUCUGAAAAAAACUAAAUAUUUA